rnacentral:tRNA from 1 species
CCCCCAGUGGCCUAAUGGAGAAGGCACUGGCCUCCAGAGCCAGGAGCUGUGGGUUCAAGUCCCACCUGGGGUA